rnacentral:rRNA from 1 species
UGAUGACGAGACGCUAAGGCGUUGAAGCAGUGUAUGUCAGACUUCCAAGAAAAGCUUGCACCGUCAAAAACAAAUAAUGCCUGUACCAUAACCGACACAGGUGGGUAGGUAGAGUAUACUAAGGGGCGCGAGAUAACUCUCUCUAAGGAACUCGGCAAAAUGACUCCGUAACUUCGGGAGAAGGAGUGCCUUAUUUAUAAGGUUGCAAUAACAAGAUCCAAGCAACUGUUUAUCAAAAACACAGGUCUCCGCUAAGUCGUAAGACGAUGUAUGGGGGCUGACGCCUGCCCAGUGCCAGAAGGUUAAAGAAGUUGGUUAGUGUAUGCGAAGCUGAUGACUGAAGCCCUGGUGAACGGCGGCCGUAACAAUAACGGUCCUAAGGUAGCGAAAUUCCUUGUCGGGUAAGUUCCGACCCGCACGAAAGGCGUAAUGAUUUGGAUACUGUCUCGGAGAGAGGCUCGGUGAAAUAGACUUGUCUGUGAAGAUGCGGACUACCUGCACCAGGACAGAAAGACCCUAUGAAGCUUUACUGUAACUUGAAAUUGGAAUUGGACUUUGCUUGCGCAGUAUAGGUGGGAAGCGUUGAAAAUAUUCUUGCGGGAGUAUUGGAGCUAUCAGUGAGAUACCACUCUUGUAAUGUUAGAUUUCUAACUUUGAACCAUAAUCUGGUCAAAGAACAGUUUCAGGUGGGCAGUUUGACUGGGGCGGUCGCCUCCCAAAUGGUAACGGAGGCGUACAAAGGUUUCCUCUGAACGGAUAGAAAUCGUAUCUAGAGUGUAAAGGCAUAAGGAAGCUUGACUGUGAGACCUACAAGUCGAGCAGGGACGAAAGUCGGUCUUAGUGAUCUGACGGUACUGAGUGGAAAGGCCGUCACUCAACGGAUAAAAGUUACUCUAAGGAUAACAGGCUGAUCUCCCCCAAGAGUUCACAUCGACGGGGAGGUUUGGCACCUCGAUGUCGGCUCAUCGCAUCCUGGGGCGGUAGUACGUCCCAAGGGUUGGGCUGUUCGCCCAUGAAAGCGGUACGCGAGCUGGGUUCAGAGCGUCGUGAGACAGUUCGGUCCAUAUCCGGUGUAGGCGCUAGAAUAUUGAGAGGAGCCUUCUUUAGUACGAGAGGACCGAGAAGGACACACCGCUGGUGUACCAGUUAUCGUGCCAACGGUAAACGCUGGGUAGCUAUGUGUGGAGUGGAUAACCGCUGAAAGCAUCUAAGUGGGAAGCCCACCUCGAGAUGAG